rnacentral:tRNA from 1 species
GUGGCGAGGGCGUCGCCCUUGGGCACCGUGCCGUCGCGCAGCGCGGCGCAGACCUCGGCGGUGGUGCGCAGCGUGCCGCUCGCCGUGGCCACGC